GACGAACGCUGGCGGCGUGCCUAACACAUGCAAGUCGAGCGGAGAUGUACUGAAGAUUUAUCGGAUGUACAUCUUAGCGGCGGACGGGUGAGUAACGCGUGGGCAACCUGCCUUCCACUGGGGGAUAACACAGGGAAACCUGUGCUAAUACCGCAUGACAUCACAUAGGGCAUCCUGUGUGAUCAAAGGAGUGAUCCGGUGGAAGAUGGGCCCGCGUCCGAUUAGCUAGUUGGUGAGGUAACGGCUCACCAAGGCGACGAUCGGUAGCCGGACUGAGAGGUUGGCCGGCCACAUUGGGACUGAGACACGGCCCAGACUCCUACGGGAGGCAGCAGUGGGGAAUAUUGCGCAAUGGGGGAACCCUGACGCAGCGACGCCGCGUGAAGGAAGAAGGCCUUCGGUUGUAACUUACUUGAUGAGGACGAAGGAAGUGACGGUACCUCAAAACAAGACCACGCUAACUACGUGCCAGCAGCCGCGGUAAAGUACACGUCGCG
rnacentral:rRNA from 1 species